rnacentral:rRNA from 1 species
AGCCCACUCUAGCCCAAUCACAUUACACAACCUAACCGCAACAAAACCCCAUCCUACCACCUAACUAAAACAUUUUCCAAUCCUAGUAUGGGCGAUAGAAAAGAUCCUUCUGGCGCGAUAGAGACUCUGUACCGUAAGGGAAAGAUGAAAUAACAAUGAAAAAUCAAGCAACAAACAGCAAAGAUAAGCCCUUGUACCUUUUGCAUCAUGGUCUAGCAAGAAUAACCAAGCAAAAUGAAUUUAAGCUUGUCAUCCCGAAACCCAAGCGAGCUACUUGCAAGCAGCUACCCAUGAGCGAACCCGUCUCUGUUGCAAAAGAGUGGGAUGACUUGCUAGUAGAGGUGAUAAGCCAACCGAGCUGGGUGAUAGCUGGUUACCUGUGAAAUGAAUCUCAGUUCUCUCCUGAUCUCUCUCCCCGGACACCUAACCUUAGCCCCCAUGAAGCAGAUCAAGAACAAUUUAAAGGGGGUACAGCCCCUUUAAAAAAGAAAACAACCUCCAUUAGCGGAUAAAUCACCUAACCGUCCCCAGACUGUAGGCCCUCAAGCAGCCACCAACAAAGAAUGCGUCAAAGCUCUACACAUAAAAAAAUCCAAUAACAACAUGACUCCCUUCCUACUAACAGGUCAACCUAUAUUAAUAGGAGCAUUAAUGCUAAAAUGAGUAACCAGGGUUCACCCCUCUUAAGCGCAAACUUACACUCACAUCAUUAACAGAUAACAAACCAAUAUCUUAAUUCCAACAAGAUCAAGAUAUUAAGCCCACCCUGUUACCCCGACGAAGGAGCGCCUAUUAGAAAGAUUAAAAUCUGUAAAAGGAACUAGGCAAACCCAAGGCCCGACUGUUUACCAAAAACAUAGCCUUCAGCCCAUCAAGUAUUGAAGGUGAUGCCUGCCCAGUGACAUGACGUUUAACGGCCGCGGUAUCCUAACCGUGCGAAGGUAGCGCAAUCAAUUGUCCCAUAAAUCGAGACCUGUAUGAAUGGCUAAACGAGGUCUUACCUGUCUCCUACAGAUAAUCAGUGAAAUUGAUCUUCCCGUGCAAAAGCAGGAAUACUGACAUAAGACGAGAAGACCCUGUGGAACUUAAAAAUCAACAGCCACUGCAUACAAACCCAAACCUAUCAGGCCCACCUUUACCCGAAUACUGGCUUGUAUUUUUCGGUUGGGGCGACCUUGGAGAAAAACAAAUCCUCCAAAAAUAAGACCAUAUCUCUUAACUGAGAGCAACCUCUCAACGUACUAAUAGUAACCAGACCCAGUAUUACUGACCAAUGGACCAAGCUACCCCAGGGAUAACAGCGCAAUCCCCUCUAAGAGCCCACAUCGACGAGGGGGUUUACGACCUCGAUGUUGGAUCAGGACAUCCUAAUGGUGUAGCCGCUAUUAAGGGUUCGUUUGUUCAACGAUUAACAGUCCUACGUGAUCUGAGUUCAGACCGGAGCAAUCCAGGUCGGUUUCUAUCUAUGACAGACUUUCUCCAGUACGAAAGGACCGAGAAAGUGGGGUCAAUACUACAAGCACACCUCAUCCCCAAGUAAUGCACCCAACUAAAUUACCAAAGGACCACCCACCACCAAUCCCCUAGAAAAGGGGCCA